rnacentral:rRNA from 1 species
CCUACGGGAGGCAGCAGUGAGGAAUAUUGGUCAAUGGGCGAGAGUCUGAACCAGCCAAGUCGCGUGAGGGAUGAAGGCCCUAUGGGUUGUAAACUUCUUUUAUAUGGGAAUAAAGUGUUCCACGUGUGGGAUUUUGUAUGUACCAUAUGAAUAAGGAUCGGCUAACUCCGUGCCAGCAGCCGCGGUAAUACGGAGGAUCCGAGCGUUAUCCGGAUUUAUUGGGUUUAAAGGGAGCGUAGGGGGUUUGUUAAGUCAGCUGUGAAAGUUUGCGGCUCAACCGUAAAAUUGCAGUUGAAACUGGAAGUCUUGAGUACAGUAGAGGUGGGCGGAAUUCGUGGUGUAGCGGUGAAAUGCUUAGAGAUCACGAAGAACUCCGAUUGCGAAGGCAGCUUACUGGACUGCAACUGACACUGAGGCUCGAAAGUGUGGGUAUCAAACAGGAUUAGAUACCCCUGUAGUC